ACGGAAGGCAGCAGUGGGGAAUAUUGGGCAAUGGGCGCAAGCCUGACCCAGCGACGCCGCGUGAAGGAAGAAGGUCUUCGGAUUGUAAACUUCUUUUAUGUGGGACGAAGAAAAUGACGGUACCACAUGAAUAAGCCACGGCUAACUACGUGCCAGCAGCCGCGGUAAUACGUAGGUGGCGAGCGUUAUCCGGAUUUACUGGGUGUAAAGGGUGAGUAGGCGGGAUUGCAAGUCAGAUGUGAAAAUCAUGGGCUCAACUCAUGACCUGCAUUUGAAACUGUAAUUCUUGAGUAUCGGAGAGGUAAACGGAAUUCCUAGUGUAGCGGUGAAAUGCGUAGAUAUUAGGAGGAACACCAGUGGCGAAGGCGGAUUGCUGGACGACAACUGACGGUGAGGCGCGAAAGCGUGGGGAGCAAACAGGAUUAGAUACCCUGGUA
rnacentral:rRNA from 1 species